GAUGAAGAACGUAUCGAAAUGCGAUAAGUAGUGUGAAUUGCAGAAUUCAGUGAAUCAUCGAAUCUUUGAACGCACAUUGCGCCCUUUGGUAUUCCUUAGGGCAUGCCUGUUCGAGCGUCAUUUAAACCUUCAAGCUAAGCUUGGUGUUGGGUGACUGUCCGCCUCACGGCGGACUCGCCUCAAAAUUAUUGGCGGCCGGUACAUUGGCUUCGAGCGCAGCAGAAACGCGAACUCGGGCCCGUCGUAUUGGCUCCCAGAAGCUAUCUUCACAAUUUUGACCUCGGAUCAGGUAGGGAUACCCGCUGAACUUAAGCAUAUCAAUAAGCGGAGGA
rnacentral:misc_RNA from 1 species